UACGUAGGGUGCGAGCGUUGUCCGGAAUUAUUGGGCGUAAAGAGCUCGUAGGCGGUCUGUCGCGUCGGUCGUGAAAACUUGGGGCUUAACCCUGAGCUUGCGGUCGAUACGGGCAUGACUGGAGUUCGGCAGGGGAGACUGGAAUUCCUGGUGUAGCGGUGAAAUGCGUAGAUAUCUGGAGGAACACCGGUGGCGAAGGCGGCAUCCUGGACCAUUACUGACACUGAAAAGCGAAAGCCAGGGGAGCAAACGGG
rnacentral:rRNA from 1 species